ensembl:snoRNA
GAGAAUGAUGAUUUCACAGACUAGAGUCUCUGACACUGGUCCUGAUGUCAAAACUAAAUUCUGACUC